rnacentral:rRNA from 1 species
UACGAAGGGGGGCUAGCGUUGCUCGGAAUUACUGGGCGUAAAGCGCACGUAGGCGGCUUUCUAAGUCGGGGGUGAAAUCCUGGAGCUCAACUCCAGAACUGCCUUUGAUACUGGAGGAUCUUGAGUUCGGGAGAGGUGAGUGGAACUGCGAGUGUAGAGGUGAAAUUCGUAGAUAUUCGCAAGAACACCAGUGGCGAAGGCGGCUCACUGGCCCGAUACUGACGCUGAGGCACGAAAGCGUGGGGAGCAAACAGG